CGAAAUGCGAUAAGUAAUGUGAAUUGCAGAAUUCAGUGAAUCAUCGAAUCUUUGAACGCACAUUGCGCCCGCCAGUAUUCUGGCGGGCAUGCCUGUUCGAGCGUCAUUACAACCCUCAGGCCCCCGGGCCUGGCGUUGGGGAUCGGCGGAAGCCCCCUGCGGGCACAACGCCGUCCCCCAAAUACAGUGGCGGUCCCGCCGCAGCUUCCAUUGCGUAGUAGCUAACACCUCGCAACUGGAGAGCGGCGCGGCCACGCCGUAAAACACCCAACUUCUGAAUGUUGACCCCGAAUCAGGUAGGAAUACCCGCUGAACUUAAGC
rnacentral:misc_RNA from 1 species